rnacentral:misc_RNA from 1 species
GAAGAAGAAGAAGAAGAAGGACAAAGGCAAUGUAAGACGCGACACCUGAGAAAGUGAGGGUCGAGAGACGUGAGCAUUGAGAAGUGAAGGAAGGAAAAUGUGUAUUUGUAAGGCCUUUAAAUGACGUAGCACUAUAUGUAGGCAAUUUCGGUUUGUUCGGUUUUUUUACUAAAUUAGUCAAACCAAAACGAAUCACAAAAUCGAAUUUUUGAAAAAUGCUAAUCAAAACAAAACCGAAAAACCUAAUUAAAUCAGUUUGGUUCAAUUUUUGGUUAAUAACCAAUGAAUGCUUAGCCCUAACUUAGAUUGAUUUUAAUUCAAAAUGCUUUUGAUUUAUAAUAGCUAACUAAAAAAUUACAUGGAUCUAACAUUUUUUUUGUAUAAAAAACAAAGAAAAAGAAGAAACUUUGUGAAUUAAACCGAUGUCGAUUUAGAAUCACCGAUUUGAAUCAACAAUUUCAAGUCGAUUCCGAUUCAAGGAGGGAGACCGAAACCAACCCCCUAUACCUUGGCUCUGAAUCAAUUCAUGAACCGAACUGUUGACUAGAUCCAGUUUCUGAUUUGAACCAGUCCAUGACUAGGUCUAAUUUCAAGUGGAUUGGUCCUACUCCUUUUGUUAUCGAAUAGGCUCUUAAAUUGAAACUUCUAGAGUAAUCAUUAUACGAUUUGGGCUAUUUGUCAAGCUAUGCUAAUUACACUUCCAUUUAACAAGUUUUGCUUUAGUGUAUUGGGUUAUUCACAGCAUCAUAUAGAUUUUGAAGUGGAUAUUGGAGAUUGAGAAGGGAUUUGGUGAGGAUUGGUAUUUAAGGUUAGCCUAAACACCAACAAUAGGAGUAUACCCAGGACCUCAUGAAUCAUUUAUGUGCUCUCUCCACUCUACCGUAGCUCAUAUUUGACGAUUUUAAUAAAAUAAUGUAUAAUUUUGAGAAAUUUAGUGGGAUUUAGAAGUUUGAAAAUAUUACUAAUGUGAUUUUGGACUUUAUUAUUUAGACCUAUAUUAUGAGUUGUAUCGUUCUAGCUUCAACUUUAUUAGAAGAAAUUUAUAGCCUUAUUGGUAGAUUCUUAUAGGUAACAUGGGAAAUGAUUAAACAAAUAAAAUUCAUUGGCUAUCUUAAGAUAAGCUAUACUCCUUGUCGUGGUCCGUGGAAAUUCAUUGCAAGUAAUAUAGACCUGCAAAACAAAGAAUAAAUAGGUUAGAGGGAAUAUUUCUAGUGAAGAUUUUUCGACAUUCAAGUUAGAGUUGAUAUAAAAAAAUAUGUAAAAUUAAUGAGAAAAAAAAGAUGUAAUUGGCUAUGAAAGUUGUGAUGCCUUUACAUAGGUAUUAAAUAGUGAUUAGUUUCUAUUUAGGUGAUAUUUUGAUAAAGAAAUGAAAUUGUCUAUGAAAAUUGUCUUGUUUUGCUACUUUGAAGCCAUGAAAUUGGUUAGCGCUGAAUUCAUAACUUUGUCUUGCUUGGGAUGCUAUUGAAUUUGGUCACUAUAAAUCCAUGAAUCAAACCGAAUCGAACAUUUCAAUUCAAUUUGGUUUGAUUUUUACUCUUACUCAGUUUGGUUUAAAUCUCUAGAAUUUGGUCUAUUAGGUUUGAGCAAUUCAAUUCAACUUUAAACCGAACCGACCGAAUGCUCAACCCCAAGCCAACACAAAUAGCAUCAUCCCAUCCUAAUUCCUCAAUUCACAAAUUGAAAACUUUCAAAAAAAAUUCACAAAUUAAAAUCAACAGCACAAACACUAAAUUGAAAUCAACAAUAAUAUAUCCUCAAUGCUAACAUAAACCCUAACCCCCCUUUGUUUGGAUCAUUAAUUUUGCAAGUAAAUUGGAGAGAAAUCAAUUUAAUUUUGCAAGCAAAACACAAUGAUGCAGAUAUCCUGAUUCACUACCUAGACUCGACUUAGACUUGGUAAGGCUUAUUUCUCAAAUCAAAUUGCAUACCUAGAAGAACCAGCAUAUUGUCUUCUUCGCGCCCUUCCCUUUCAAAUGGAGUUCCCCUGCUGGAAUCAUAGUCUACUCAUGGAAUGGAGAAUGGAGACAAGGAGAGACUUCGUAUGCAAAGAAGAAAUAGAACAACUCAAGGCAAGUUAAAAACUGAAUCGAAGAAGAAAUUAAGAAUAACAGUAGCAGCAGAAGAAGAAUCCACAUGCAAAGUCAACAGCAGAAAUCAAAGAAGAAAAAAAAAUCGAAGAACAAGAAGAAAUUCGAAUAAGAAAUCGAAGAAGAAGAAAAAGAGAGUCACUGUUGUCGGUUGUUAUGAGUUUGAGAGAGGGUAGGAUAGCUUUACUGUGGUUCAUUCGAAGAAGAAGAAGAAGAAGAAG